GGCCAGCUAGCUCAGUCAGUUGAGCGUAGCGCUAACAACGCUAAGGUUGCGGGUUCGAUUCCCGUUUGGUCC
rnacentral:tRNA from 1 species